rnacentral:rRNA from 1 species
GACGAACGCUGGCGGCGUGCUUAACACAUGCAAGUCGAACGGAAAGGCCCUGCUUUUGUGGGGUGCUCGAGUGGCGAACGGGUGAGUAACACGUGAGUAACCUGCCCUUGACUUUGGGAUAACUUCAGGAAACUGGGGCUAAUACCGGAUAGGAGCUCCUGCUGCAUGGGGGGGGUUGGAAAGUUUCGGCGGUUGGGGAUGGACUCGCGGCUUAUCAGCUUGUUGGUGGGGUAGUGGCUUACCAAGGCUUUGACGGGUAGCCGGCCUGGGAGGGUGACCGGCCACCUUGGGACUGAGAUACGGCCCAGACUCCUACGGGAGGCAGCGGUGGGGAAUAUUGCACAGUGGGCGGAAGCCUGAUGCAGCAACGCCGCGUGCGGGAUGCCGGCCUUCGGGUUGUAAACCGCUUUCGCCUGUGCCGAAGCGUGAGUGACGGUAAUGGGUCAAGAAGCACCGGCUAACUACGUG